UUAAAAUGUUAAUUGCGGAUGGAUGGAGAUUUGGCGAUCUGUAUGAAUAACCAUGAGACUCGCUGUAGAUCGACACAAAUUACAUCGACCAUUGUAUUGGUCUUCUUUAGUAAGCCAGCCUUUGAAUUUCUCAUCCUGCGUCCAUUCGUCCUUGUAAACACACCAUCGUUUUAUUUUCUUCGGCGGUGUACAUGAAUAGCUGCUGGUCAGCUCUUGUUCGUUGUCACUAUUUGAAUUACUGCUUUCCAUCUUGACUGAACGAGGGGAUAACAAAAAAUUGUGGAAAACAAAGUCACGCUCAAUACAACUAAACACGUCCGAACAUGCCAAACGCUUUGAAGAGGCUGACGUCAGCGUCAGACGGGUCUAAAUAGUAGUGGGGAGGUGGGAGGAAUGUACGUUGGAACGACGUUCAGCGGAUUUACACGAUGUUAAUUUGAAUAAAAAUAAAUGGAAUAUUUUUCUCAAAAUUUCCGGGACAAUUUAGCAUUCAUCCGGGAUACGGGACAGCGAUUCCAAUUCCGGGACAAUCCCGGCCAAUCCGGGACGGUUGGCAACCCUACUUACACCUACUUCUUGUUUUACUUUCUCCCAAAUGUUUUGCUUCUUCACGUUAUAUUUAUAAUCCAAUCUCUGCAUAUCAUAAAUUUCGGUAAUUUUGAAUGUUUAACAAAAAAUUUUUCGAUUCGCUUUUCGUUAAGCUGAUCCUCCGUCUUGGACUGCGCAAGGUAUUUAUGUCUAGCGACAGAGCUUCCAAGUAGAAGAAAUUUUAAUCUUAACGUUUGACGCUGCGCCACGCUGCGCUAAGUUUGACGUUGAUAGAAUUUUGACUAUAAAUCAUGAACGUUAACAUCGAACGUCCAACGACUGCUAGCGACCUUGAAACGGCACGCUGCAGUUGGACUAUAAAUCGACAUUAAUAAGUG
rnacentral:lncRNA from 1 species